CAUAUCAAUAAGCGGAGGAAAAGAAACUAACAAGGAUUCCCCUAGUAGCGGCGAGCGAAGCGGGAAGAGCUCAAAUUUAUAAUCUGGCACCUUCGGUGUCCGAGUUGUAAUCUCUAGAAAUGUUUUCCGCGUUGGACCGCACACAAGUCUGUUGGAAUACAGCGGCAUAGUGGUGAGACCCCCGUAUAUGGUGCGGACGCCCAGCGCUUUGUGAUACAUUUUCGAAGAGUCGAGUUGUUUGGGAAUGCAGCUCAAAUUGGGUGGUAAAUUCCAUCUAAAGCUAAAUAUUGGCGAGAGACCGAUAGCGAACAAGUACCGUGAGGGAAAGAUGAAAAGCACUUUGGAAAGAGAGUUAACAGUACGUGAAAUUGUUGGAAGGGAAACGCUUGAAGUCAGACUUGCUUGCCGAGCAAUCGGUUUGCAGGCCAGCAUCAGUUUUCCGGGAUGGAUAAUGGUAGAGAGAAGGUAGCAGUUUCGGCUGUGUUAUAGCUCUCUGCUGGAUACAUCUUGGGGGACUGAGGAACGCAGUGUGCCUUUGGCGGGGGUUUCGACCUCUUCACACUUA
rnacentral:rRNA from 1 species